rnacentral:rRNA from 1 species
UGGCUACAGAACGAACGCUGGCGGCAGGCCUAACACAUGCAAGUCGAGCGAACCCUUCGGGGUUAGCGGCGGACGGGUUAGUAACGCGUGGGAAUAUACCCUUUGGUACGGAAUAGCCUCGGGAAACUGAGAGUAAUACCGUAUGUGCCCUUCGGGGGAAAGAUUUAUCGCCAAAGGAUUAGCCCGCGUUGGAUUAGAUAGUUGGUGGGGUAAUGGCCUACCAAGUCUACGAUCCAUAGCUGGUUUGAGAGGAUGAUCAGCAACACUGGGACUGAGACACGGCCCAGACUCCUACGGGAGGCAGCAGUGGGGAAUCUUAGACAAUGGGCGCAAGCCUGAUCUAGCCAUGCCGCGUGGACGAUGAAGGCCUUAGGGUUGUAAAGUCCUUUCAGAUGGGAAGAUAAUGACGGUACCAUCAGAAGAAGCCCCGGCUAACUCCGUG